ACUCUGGCUCUUAGUUCUCACCUUUCCUAAUGUCAGUCAUUAGUUCUUACAAACUAAUCAGAAAGUGUUUCCAUAAAUAAAUUUAAAAUGCACUAAAACUCUUCACUGAGAAAUCUUAAAACAUUAGGGAAUUGUUUCCCAGCCUUUUAAGUGUGAACUUUUAAGAGUUGUUACAUCACUUUCAGAAGCAAAAUCCCAUAAACAUGAAAAGAUUUCCAAUAACCAGUUUUCCAAAUACCCUUUUCAUAGCAGGAGUAUUUUUGAAAAAGUAGUUACAUUCUUAUUCCUUGGGGGGGGAAAUGACAUUAUGUCCUUGAAGAGAUAUAUUUUAUGUUUGUUUUUCAACAUCUGUUAAAUAGCUUACUACUAAAAGUCCUUUUGUUGUCACAGAAAAAAAAAAAAGCCAGAACAUUAGAUACCCAUCUUUUUUUGAAAGUAAAAUGCAUAAACUAUUUUUUUUUUUAUUUUUUAAAUGGGCAAAAAAUGAGAGGAAUCACUCUGAUUUCAAGACUUGUGUGGCAGCAGUGGUAGUGACUGUGUGGAGGGACAGACACAUCGUCCGUGGAACAAAAAGGAGAACCCAGAAAUGGUCUGACAAUGACAGCCAACUGAUUAGUGACCGAGGUGCCAGUGCAAUUCAAUGAAAGAAGAAUGGUUUUUCCCACAGAUUGUCCUGGAGUAAUCAGACAUCCACAGCGAAUAAGCAAAUAAAGAGAACCUCAAUCUCAACCUCACGCCUUCUAUAAAAAUUACCCAGCUCAAAAGGAUCACAUAUUUAAAGGCAAAACAUACAACUGUACCUUGAGAAGAUAACAUAGGAGAAAAUAUUUAAGACCUAGGGCUCAGUGAGGAGUUCUUAGACAAAGCACAAUUCGUUAAACAAAAACAUGGUAAACUGGACUUCAUCAAAAUUAAAACUUCUGCUUUGUGAAAGACCUUGUCCAGACAAUGAAAAGACAAGCUGCAGACAGAGAAAACAUCUGUAAACUACAUACUUGGCAAAGGACUAGGAUCAGAAUAUAAAAAGAAGUCUAAACAUUCAACAGAAAAAAUACAUCUAAUUAGGAAAUGGGCAAAGACAUGAACAGUUUCUCUAAUGACGAGAUAUGGAUGGCAAACAAGUGCAUGAAAAGACGUUCGACACCAGCAGCCACCAGGGACAUGCUCAUUCAGACCGUGAUGAGGUAUCGCUACCAACCUCAGAGCAGCACAAGUGAAAUAAAAAGUAGUGACAAGGCUGGUAAGAAAGAACAUGGACAACUGACUCCCUUAUACAAGCUGGGAGGGGUGUAAAAUGAAAUAGCCGUUCUGGAAAACAUUUGGCUGGUUCCUGGGAAACUAAAUAUGCAACUGCCAUGCAACCCAGCAUCUGUGCUCUUGGACAUUGACCCCAGAGAGAUGAAAACUCAUGCUCAUGAAACUCUCUACUGAUGCUCACAAAAGCCUGAACACGAGUGUCUGUAGCAGUUUUAUCUGCAAUAGCCAAAAACUGGAAACAACCCAGAUAUCCUCCAGUGACUGAAGGGUAGAUGGUACAUCCAUCCCAUGGACUCCUACUCAGCAAUAAAAAUGAAUGACCUAUUAAUACAAGCAACAACCUGCAUAAUCUCCAGAGAAUUAUGCCAUGUGAAGAAGACCAAUCCCAAAAUGCUGUCUACCUUAUUCUUCCGUUUACAUAACAUUCGUGAAGUGAGAAAACUAUACAGGGAUGAGCAAAAGUAGGUAUACAGUUGUACACCAGCCCCACUCGGAGGCCUUUGUGGACCAUUUCCAAGGGAAUGCCCAACACGAGCUGCAUAACAAGAUUCCCCAAGAUGUGCUGAAUUCUGCAGAGACAAACACAUUUGUUAAGAAUUAGGGCCGAUCCAGGCAGUUAUUUCCUUGGAAGAGCAGCAGGCGUUGAGGUGUUGUUUCUAGGUACGGACUCGCUUAACUCAAAUUCCACUUUCUAAUUUUUGUAGCAGGUGAAAGAGCAUUUUAGAAGUCUACAUUUAUUUCAUAAGUUCUGUUUUAUAACAGUUACUGAUACAACAUCAGAGAGCAAUGAGGCUGGCCUAAGGAAAAUAAACUUGAAAUUAAGUUUAGAUGACAAUUGGCAACUUCUGUCAGCUUCGGCAUCUGAUUUUGUUAGGGUUGCCUAGUAUUUAGAAAAUCUCAAUUCACUCAAAUUGAGUUUAAAUUUCAAUAGGUUUCUAAACAACUUGUCCUGCUGUCUCAGAAUGUUCUUUAAUAAAAGAGGUGGCAAGAGGAAGCUCAUUCCCAGUUUUACAUUUGAAAGUUUUUUUAAAAAGCUUACGAGAAAGGAAAAGUAAGUUUACCUCAUAACACUAGCUAAUGUUGGUACUUCCCAUGCACUACAGUUUGGCACAUAACAUAUUUGAGUAUAGGUGUUUUUAUUAUAGUUCUUAAAUAGGUAAAAAUAUUUUUAAAUAAAAGUCAUUAUUUUGCUUGCCAAACCCCAUGAGUAUCUCUGGAGAAUCUCUUGAGUAUAAUUUGGUAAAUGCCCACAUUAGAGUAAUCCUCAAUUUAGUUGCUAUGCAGCACAAUGCUGGGUUGGGUUUUUUGGUUUUUGUUUUUUUUUAAGAUUCUAGGUUAAAUCAAAAGUUAAAAACCAAAAUAGGUGUUGGACCUUCAACAAAGUGUACCAGCUUUCAUAUUAGGUCUAGGGGUUGUGUUUUACAUUACAAUUUACUUAACAAAUACCAGCAGACAGCAGACCACCAGGGCGGUACUCUGGGCGCACCUGGCAGCCCGGAGGGCUUCGCUCUGUAGCCCAUGCACACCCAGCCACACUCACUGUCCGAGCCGUCUUCAAAGACAUGUGAGAGGUAACAGAAUUCAGUGCAGAAUUGUCCGGCAAGGACAGCUACACUCAGCUUAGGCAGACCUCAGGCAUAAAGGGGAUUUGGAAAUAUGUGCACUUUGUGAAUCCGAGCAACAAUGUCAAAGAAACCCAUCUCAUCCUGUCCUCUGGCAACAGCUGGGAGACAAGAUGACCAAUAGCACAGAAACCCCAACAAAUCAACCCAAACUCUCUUUCUUCUGCUCAACAUCACGAGUAAAAGUGGCAGAAAGAUGAGAUCCUGUCAUAUUCUCAAAACAGAAAUAUAAUUUUUUUAUUCUGAAUUUUACCCACCCUUCCAGAGUCCACCUGGAAUCCAUGUCAUUUGUGAAGCCAUCCCAAUUCUGAUCUUGCCCUCUUUCGGUUUGUAGUGCUGUAGCUUCCCCAACACUCACAUCCUGUCUCUUCCUUUCCUCCUCUAGUGAGGCUGGAAGAGCUGAUGCUGACCUUCCCAGCCUCUCUUAGGUAGGACACAUAGUUCUGGUCAGUGAGAUGCAAGGAAAAGCAGUGCUUCUGUCUUGACAAAAGGGACGAUGUCACCAGUACCUGGAAUUACCUCUUCCCCAUUCCGGCUUUGAAUGCAGAGCUACAGCAGUGAACUUGCAACCAUGAGAGAAAGGCUAAG